rnacentral:rRNA from 1 species
CAGCCGCCGCGGUAAUACGUAGGUGGCGAGCGUUGUCCGGAAUCAUUGGGCGUAAAGGGAGCGCAGGCGGGCAUGUAAGUCUUUCUUAAAAGUGCGGGGCUCAACCCCGUGAUGGGAAAGAAACUAUGUGUCUUGAGUACAGGAGAGGAAAGCGGAAUUCCCAGUGUAGCGGUGAAAUGCGUAGGUAUCGGGAGGAACACCAGUGGCGAAGGCGGCUUUAUGGACUGUAACUGACGCUGAGGCGCGAAAGCAUGGGGAGCAAACAGGAUUAGAUACCCCUGUAGUCCCUGUCUCUUAUACA